CCUACGGGAGGCAGCAGUGAGGAAUAUUGGUCAAUGGGCGCGAGCCUGAACCAGCCAAGUAGCGUGAAGGAUGACUGCCCUACGGGUUGUAAACUUCUUUUAUAACGGAAUAAAGUGAGGCACGUGUGCCUUUUUGUAUGUACUUUAUGAAUAAGGAUCGGCUAACUCCGUGCCAGCAGCCGCGGUACUACGGAGGAUCCGAGCGUUAUCCGGAUUUAUUGGGUUUAAGGGGAGCGUAGAUGGGUUGUUAAGUCAGUUGUGAAAGUUUGCGGCUCAACCGUAAAAUUGCAAUUGAUACUGGCAGGCUUGAGUACAGUAGGGGGAGGCGGAAUUCGUGGUGUAGCGGUGAAAUGCUUAGAUAUCACGAAGAACUCCGAUUGCGAAGGCAGCUUACUAAACUGCCACUGACAUUGAUGCUCGAAAGUGUGGGGAUCAAACAGGAUUAGAUACCCGAGUAGUC
rnacentral:rRNA from 1 species